rnacentral:lncRNA from 10 species
GCUGCAAACAGCAGCCACUGAUGAUGCAGGGAUGCAGAGCAGCAGGAGAAAAGAAGCUGGGUCUCUGAGUGACUGUGUGGAGCAGAGCUGCCUUGCCAUCCUGAACAACAUACUCCUUGACUUUAGGCAUUGCGGUGGACUCCUGAAGGGUAUUGGACUGGAAAAAGUCAUUCGAGAUGAGACCAACGUGCUUAGAACCAAAGGUUUGUUUGGGCUGAACACAGGUCUUGCCAGGCACUCAGGAUAAUAGAAUUUGGAGAAGAGAGAAGAAAUGUAAGCCCAGGCACCAAGACGAUCAGUGAAUGAGAAGGAAUGAUUAAGAGGCUGGAAGACAACA